rnacentral:rRNA from 1 species
GAAGGGUUCCAUGUGAACAGCAGUUGGACAUGGGUUAGUCGUUCCUAAGAGACAAGGAUGUUCCGCACACGCAGGCUUUGCCUCGUCUCUUGAAAGGGAAUGGGGUUAAUAUUCCCCAACCAGGACGUGGAUACUGUAUGGCAACGUAAGAGAAUUCGGUGACGCAGGAGGGAGCCUUGGGAAGCGUUGUCUUUUCUUUUUAACCGUCUCUUACCCUGGAAUCAGAUUGCCUGGAGAUAGGGUUAAUUGGCGGGUAAAGCACCUUGUCUUCCGAGGUGUCCGGUGCGCUCUCUACUGUCCUUGAAAAGCC